rnacentral:lncRNA from 1 species
GGCACUGGGGUGGCCGUGCGGGGUCACUUUGAUGUGUGGAGGGAUUACCUGGGGCUGGCGGCCGCCGUGGCCACGCUGCUCCGCGAGCAUGGAGGACGUGGGGACAGCUCGGGGACAACGGGGGCUCUGGCUGCGAGGGGCAGGGCAGCUCCACGUGCUGGAGCAGCUCCACGUGUGGGGUCAGCUCCACGUGUGGGGUCAGCUCCACGUGCUGGGCCAGCUCCACGUGCUGGGCCAGCUCCGCGUGCUGGGCCAGCUCCGCGUGCUGGGCCAGCUCCGCGUGCUGAGCUAGCUCCAUCUGCUGGGCCAGCUCCACAUAUCAGGUCAGCUCCACCUAUGGGAGCAGCUCCAUGCACCGAACCAGCUCCAUGCUUGGAACCAGCUCCACAUGCCAGGCCAGCUCUACCUAUGGGAGCAGCUCCAUGCACCGAACCAGCUCCACAUGCUGAACCAGCUCCAUCAGUGGGACCAUCUCUGUGGAGCGAACCAUCUCCAUGUGCCAGACCAGCUCCACAUGUCGGGUCAGCUCCACCUGUGGAACCAGCUCCACGUAUGGGACCAUCUCCACACACCAAACCAACUCCACAUGUAGGACCAUCUCCAUUCACCAAACCAGCUCCACAUGCUGAACCAGCUCCACCAGUGGGACCAUCUCCACACACUGCUCCAGCUCCGUGCUCCAGGCCAGCUCCACAAGCCGGGCCAGCUCCACCAGUGGGACCAUCUCCAUUCACUGAACCAGCUCCAUGUAGACCAGCUCCACAAGCCGGGCCAGCUCCACCAGUGGGACCAUCUCCAUUCACGGAACUAGCUCCAUGUGCCAGACCAGCUCCACAUGUCGGGUCAGCUCCACCUAUGGGACCAGCUCCAUCUGUGGAACCAGCUCCACCAGUGGGACCAUCUCCAUUCACCGAACCACCUCUGUGCUCUGGCCCAGCUCCACAUGCCAGACCAGCUCCAUCAGUGGGACCACCUCCACUCCCUGACCGAGCUCCACCAGUGGGACCAUCUCCAUUCACUGAACCAGCUCCAUGUGCCAGACCAGCUCCAUCAGUGGGACCACCUCCACUACCCGACCGAGCUCCACCAGUGGGGCCAUCUCCACACACUGCCCCAUCUCCGUGCUCCAGGCCAGCUCCACAAGCCAGA